rnacentral:snoRNA from 1 species
AUGCAUCUCUGACAGACCUGGAGCAGUUAGUGUCUGCUGCUAAGGUUUCCACUACAGAUGCAAGAAAAAGAAGGUCCUCGCGUUCUCUGUCUGGUUGUGGCAGCCAAGACUGAAUGGGGGAAUACAGAA